GCCCGGGUGGCGGAAUGGCAUACGCGGGGGACUUAAAAUCCCCUGACGCUCACGCGUCGUGUGGGUUCGACCCCCACCCCGGGCACCA
rnacentral:tRNA from 1 species